rfam:Biomphalaria glabrata isolate BB02 unplaced genomic scaffold LGTN_random_Scaffold654, whole genome shotgun sequence.
AUAGUUGAGUGGUAAAGCGAUUGGCUUCCGAACCGAGGGUCCCAGGUUCGAAUCCUGGU